rnacentral:tRNA from 7 species
GGAGGCUUCGCCUAGUCUGGUCUAUGGCGCCGCACUGCUAAUGCGGUUUGGGGCUAUCACCCCAUCGAGGGUUCAAAUCCCUCAGCCUCCG